rnacentral:rRNA from 1 species
GGAGGAAGCAGGGGAUCGCAAGACCUUGCGCUUUUGGAGCGGCCGAUGUCUGAUUAGCUUGUUGGUAAGGUAAAAGCUUACCAAGGCUUCGAUCAGUAGCUGGUCUGAGAGGACGACCAGCCACACUGGGACUGAGACACGGCCCAGACUCCUACGGGAGGCAGCAGUGGGGAAUUUUGGACAAUGGGGGCAACCCUGAUCCAGCCAUGCCGCAUAAAUGAAGAAGACCUUCGGGUUGUAAAGCUCUUUCAGCCGGAACGAAACGGUUACGGUUAAUACCCGUGACUACUGACGGUACCGGAAGAAGAAGCACCGGCUAACUACGUGCCAGCAGCCGCGGUAAUACGUAGGGUGCGAGCGUUAAUCGGAAUUACUGGGCGUAAAGCGUGCGCAGGUGGUUUUGUAAGUCAGAUGUGAAAUCCCCGGGCUCAACCUGGGAACUGCGUUUGAAACUACAAAGCUAG